UCAAAGGCCCUUAAAUCCUCAGGGAGGUGGA
rnacentral:piRNA from 1 species